rnacentral:rRNA from 1 species
CACAUGCAAGUCGAGGGGCAUCAGGAACAUAGCUUGCUUUCUUUGCUGGCGACCGGCGCACGGGUGAGUAACACGUAUCCAACCUGCCCUUUACUCGGGGAUAGCCUUUCGAAAGAAAGAUUAAUACCCGAUAGCAUAAUGAUUCCGCAUGGUUUCAUUAUUAAAGGAUUCCGGUAAAGGAUGGGGAUGCGUUCCAUUAGGUUGUUGGUGGGGUAACGGCCCACCAAGCCUUCGAUGGAUAGGGGUUCUGAGAGGAAGGUCCCCCACAUUGGAACUGAGACACGGUCCAAACUCCUACGGGAGGCAGCAGUGAGGAAUAUUGGUCAAUGGGCGCUAGCCUGAACCAGCCAAGUAGCGUGAAGGAUGAAGGCUCUAUGGGUCGUAAACUUCUUUUAUAUAAGAAUAAAGUGCAGUAUGUAUACUGUUUUGUAUGUAUUAUAUGAAUAAGGAUCGGCUAACUCCGUGCCAGCAGCCGCGGUAAUACGGAGGAUCCGAGCGUUAUCCGGAUUUAUUGGGUUUAAAGGGAGCGUAGGUGGACUGGUAAGUCAGUUGUGAAAGUUUGCGGCUCAACCGUAAAAUUGCAGUUGAUACUGUCAGUCUUGAGUACAGUAGAGGUGGGCGGAAUUCGUGGUGUAGCGGUGAAAUGCUUAGAUAUCACGAAGAACUCCGAUUGCGAAGGCAGCUCACUGGACUGCAACUGACACUGAUGCUCGAAAGUGUGGGUAUCAAACAGGAUUAGAUACCCUGGUAGUCCACACAGUAAACGAUGAAUACUCGCUGUUUGCGAUAUACAGUAAGCGGCCAAGCGAAAGCAUUAAGUAUUCCACCUGGGGAGUACGCCGGCAACGGUGAAACUCAAAGGAAUCGACGGGGGCCCGCACAAGCGGAGGAACAUGUGGUUUAAUUCGAUGAUACGCGAGGAACCUUACCCGGGCUUAAAUUGCAGUGGAAUGAUGUGGAAACAUGUCAGUGAGCAAUCACCGCUGUGAAGGUGCUGCAUGGUUGUCGUCAGCUCGUGCCGUGAGGUGUCGGCUUAAGUGCCAUAACGAGCGCAACCCUUAUCUUUAGUUACUAACAGGUCAUGCUGAGGACUCUAGAGAGACUGCCGUCGUAAGAUGUGAGGAAGGUGGGGAUGACGUCAAAUCAGCACGGCCCUUACGUCCGGGGCUACACACGUGUUACAAUGGGGAGUACAGAAGGCAGCUAGCGGGUGACCGUAUGCUAAUCCCAAAAGCCUCUCUCAGUUCGGAUCGAAGUCUGCAACCCGACUUCGUGAAGCUGGAUUCGCUAGUAAUCGCGCAUCAGCCACGGCGCGGUGAAUACGUUCCCGGGCCUUGUAUACACCGCCCGUCAAGCCAUGGGAGCCGGGGGUACCUGAAGUACGUAACCGCAAGGAUCGUCCUAGGGUAAAACUGGUGACUGGGGCUAAG